rnacentral:lncRNA from 10 species
CCUGCCAGUCCCGCACUGUGCACCCGCACUCCUCAGCCCUUGGGUGGUCGAUGGGACUGGGCGCUGUGGAGCAGUGGGCGGCGCUCAUCGGGGAGGCUCGGGCACACAGGAGCCCGUGGAGGGGGUGGGAAGCUCAGGCAUGGCAGGCUGCAAGUCCUGAGCCCUGCCCCGCGGGAAGGCAGCUAAGGCCCAGUGAGAAAUCCAGCGCAGCGCCGGUGGACCGGCACUGCUGCGGGACCCAGUACACCCUCCGCAGCCGCUGGCCCGGGUGCUAAGCCCCUCAUUGCCCGGGGCCGGCAGAGCCGGCCGGCCGCUACGAGUGCGGGGCCCGCCAAGCCCACGCCCACCCGGAACUCCAGCUGGCCCUCAAGCGCCCCGCGCAGCCCCGGUUCCCGCUCGCGCCUCUCCUUCCACACCUCCCUACAAGCUGAGGGAGCCGGCUCCGGCCUUGGCCAGCCCAGAAAGGGGCUCCCACAGUGCAGCGGCGGGCUGAAGGGCUCUUCAAGUGCCGCCAAAGUGGGAGCCCAGGCAGAGGAGGCGCCGAGAGCGAGGGAGGGCUGUGAGGACUGCCAGCACGCCAUCACCUCUCAGCACUGGCAUCUACUUGGCUUCUGGGCAGGACUCAGGGAGCUUUUACUCAUGACAGAAGGUGAAACAGAAGCAGGACUCCAGUUAUACAUAUAUCAGGAAGCUUAAUACAAUCCCAGAGGUUUUACUUGAAAAAUAGAAUUUUAUUGAUAAAAAAUAGAAAACUUCAAAUCUAUCACAACUCAUCAACAGUCUACUCCUUUUAUGUAUUGGAAGCUUGUCAACUUCUUUUUGAAAAGUUAAAGUUAAGUUAGAGCUAAGACCAUAAACAUAUGAAGACUGUCUGAGAAGACAUGACUGGAAACUGAAUAGGGCUGGGCGUGGUGGCUCACACCUGUAAUCCCAACAAUUUGGGAGGCCGAGGCGGGGGGAUCACCUGAAGUCAAGAGUUCGAGACCAGCCUGGUCAACAUGGAGAAAUCCUGUUUCCACUAAGAAUACAAGAAUUAGCCAGGCGUGGUGGCAGGUGCCUGUAAUCCCAGCUACUCAGGUGGCUGAGGCAGGAGAAUUGCUUCAACCCGGGAGGCAGAGGUUGCAGUGAUCCAAGAUCAUGCCACUGCACUCCAGCCUGGGAGACAGAGAAAGACUCCAUCUCAGGGGAAAAAAAAGAAAAGAAAAGAAAAAGAAAAGAAAACUGAAUAAUACUCUAUUUUUCUACAAUGAAUCUAGAAGAAAAAGAAAAGACCAAAUAUAGGAUUACUUGAAUGAGGUGAGUUUUAAAUGUUUGUGAGGGAUGAUAGGCAUAAAAUUGGUGAAGAAAAAAAAAGUCAGUGUUUUGCUCAGGGUGUUAUUUUAUACCGUGGAGCUUAGCAGGUGAUAAAUCUCAUGUAAGCUCAGCCUAAGUAUCUCUUUUCCCCACCCCCAAAAUGUACCUUAUCAACUAAGUUGAAAAUAAUUCUUAACAUGCUGUUUGCAGCUGGCCAAGCAUAGUCUCUCAUCAGAUUAAAUCAAAUGGAAAACACAAUGAGCUCUGGAAUAUGAAUAGGGCCCAGAGUGUCUGUUUUUUAAUCAUGCUCAAAAUCCAAUUGAACCAACAUGUACUGAUUAAAGUUUCUUUAGGUACCAAGACUUAAAGAAUUUUUUUUUCACCAAAGUUUGAGUUUAUGGCUUCCUGUUCAUGCAGCCUUAGAAAUACUAGCCUUGAUUUUUUGUGAAAUCACAACCAGCUCCCUUCCCAAACAAUGGCCAAAGUAUCAGUUUUAUUUACUUGUGUUUAUCCUAAUAAACUCUAGCCUUUUUACCUCAGUUCAUGGUGGUAACUUGUACAUCAUUUAAUUACUUCUUUUAAAUUUUAAUUUUAUGAUUUUUAUUUUAUAUGGAUGAGGAGGUAGAAAUAUAAAUAGGAAAUAGUUGGGAGAAUAGUCUAUACGUGCCUCCACUAACAUAAAUAAUAAAAUGAUUUUGCCCUUUCUUAGUUCUUCAGAGAUCUCCCUGGCCAUGUCAAUUAAGUUGGCCACUCCAAAAUAAAACUACACUAUUAACCUUUAGAACUACAUUCUAAGGUAGGACAGAAACAGUUUUUAGACAGACAGAAAUCCUGGGAUGAAGGAGAGUUUCAAGUGACAUUUUUCUUAUAAAUAAAUAAAUAUCAGCUAAUGUCUUUUUCAAUAUGGCUGACUAGAUACCGGGAAUGAUCUUCCCCAAUGAGAAGAAAUAAAUGUGUUAAGUGAAACAUAAAAAGGCAUUGCUGAACUGUUAUGGUAAUAAGGAAUCUGCAGAGACACAUUUGUUGGGAAAGUAGGUAAGUGAAUGAAAAUGAGGAAAGUGAUCUCCAAAAUCUACUUUUUUUCCUGGAAUCUUCUUCCAUUUUCUGAGUUCAACUUCAUUGUCCUGUACUAGAGAUCCACUUCACUUCUCGGGAUCCACUCUGAUGGCUUCAUGGAUAACAGAUCAUAAACUCUAGGACUCAUCAAAGGUGAAGUAUAGUAAAAAGUCCCUACAUUAAAAUGUAGACCUCAUCAUUUAACUAUUUAAUAUAUAACAUAAGGUACUGAAU